AGGUUGAUUGGCCGGCCAGGUUGGUUGGCCAGGUUGGUUGGUUGGCCAGGUUGGUUGGUUGGCCAGGUUGGUUGGCCAUCUUCUAAUUUUGAUCCAAAUAUAAAACAAGUGAUUAUUUCUCUGGCACAAUAAUAUGUGUCUGAAGAAGACGAUCAACGCCAAUAGUUUGAUCACAGUGUGUUACAGUGGGACGAUAUGCUCUUCCAGGAAGAACUAUGAUGCUGAAGCUUGAAUAUGUUUUUAAUGAACAAGUGUUACAGGCCUCUCUCAUCAUGUACCCGUUUAACAGUCAAAUCCAUUUGAUAAAAGGGAACAAAAAAGUGCCAAGUUUCCUCUAAAAAUACAAGCGUAACAGAUGGGAUGCUUCUGCCCCCACUACCUACCUACCUACCUACCUACCUACCUACCUACCUACCUACCUACCUACCUACCUGUUUCUUCAGCCAUUGAUGUUAAUGUAAACAGUGUAAUAUUGACGAUAUCUUUUUUUUUUAUUAUUGUAUAAAGUUUCACCGUUUGUUUGAUUUUAUGUUAAAGAAAUAAGGUCAUUGCUGCCUACUUUGGCGCCGGGAGUCGAUUUACAAAAGGUCAGUUGCUGUCGGUCCAGCAACAGUUGUUUUUAUGUUUUUAAUUCAUUCAACAAUGGGUGCGAUCAACCUGAAUUGAAUAGUUUGCAGCAUGGAACCAACAUGAGCUUUGUCACCUAUCACCUUACUAUGGAAUUACACAACAACGAGAAAAGCUACUGGCCUUUUCCAAAGCCUUCACUCUAUUGUCAUGUCAAUAAGGUGGUCGCUGAAUCUUUUUGGGUUUGCUCUGUGUUUUCAGGAUGUCUGCUGAGAGAAGUGAGUUCGGGAAAUGCCUGAAUCAUUCUCCUGCUGUCUUUCUGCUUGUGGGGUUUUGUUUUUGGAUUCUAAUAUCCCAUAACUCCUUUCAACAAUGGGACCAGCUAUGCUAGUUAGCAACGGCGCUAGUCCAACUAAGUUGUUUGUUUUCAUGGUCAACAAAAAGCAUCAGUUCUCACGUUUUACUCAACAAGGAGAAGGCAGUUCCCUCUUACAGGGGUGGAAUGUUGUUACAUGCCUUUUUAUCAUCUGGACAAACGAUUAACCUGGUAACAAAAUCUGAUGAAAUACUCUCUUAACCUGAAGCUUUUUGCAAAUACUGUGUACAUACUGUACUUGCAAGCGGUUUUAAUUUUGUCAGUCAUAUUGUUUUGUUUUCUUCCAAAAGCAGCUGUUUUUGGGGGGGGGGUUAAUGAGCUCUGAACAACGUAUGUAUGUGUCCUCUAAUAUGCCAAAUGUCUUUUUAUAACAUAGAUAUGUCAUGCACUGCUAAACAGGACAGAGCGAGAAGCAGCUUUAAAUAAAGGAAAAGCUGUGUGGGAGGAGCCUUUCUCUGACACGCUCUGCCUUGAAUACUCCUCGAGACGAUUGGCUGGCUGCAUUAUGGAGUAGUAAUGUUUCCCUCUCCUCUGUGUCUCUCUGCACCUACGUUUUGACUUCACUCUCUUAGCUCUGCACGCUUAACUUCGCUGCAGUCCCAUUUGUUAUCUUGUCCCCCUCACGCAUCCUUUCACACACACUCUGUCUCCAUCUUUCUCUCUGUCUCUGUGUGUAAUGUUCCAUUAAUGGUAAACAGAGGUGUCAGCCAGUGGUAGUAUACUCAGCGAUCGAAGGGUUUGCUGAUGGUAGAAAUCUGUGCAGUUUGUAACAUUUUUAGCAAUAACGUGAAACAAGGGGACUGUUUUUUUUUGAUAACAUAAUGAUUGGUUGUUUUGUUUUUUGUACAUAUUGAAAUUCCAUGUCAUUUAAAGGAAAAAAAAACAAGAAAAAAGUUGCUAUAUUGGCAUAUAAAAAAAAAACAAACACAAGAAAUAAAAAGAAA